ACUGCAGCAGUUGGAGCUUGGAGCUGAGGCCACUUCCUGGCCAAGGAACUCUAUGAAGUAUAGGACGUGUGCUGUAGUAACCUGGCAGGAUUUUUCGCUGACGCCAUGAGGGUCUUUGUGGCCCAAUGAGUGGAGUUUGAUAGUCAUUUUUGCUACAGUU
rnacentral:snoRNA from 1 species